AAAAUCAAGUAUUUAGAAAUGGUUAAGAGAAUUUUAAUAGGAAAAGGUGGUCAAGGACUAUUAGAUAGAUUUUUAAAUGGUUGUUUUGGACAUUUCUUGGAUUGGAAUCCUGGUCCAAAAUGUGCAAUGGCCGUGCAUCAUUUAGUGUCUCGUCAAAUUAAGUCGAACGAGGAUGGUUUAUAUUUUUUAUUGAAUAAUACCCGGGUGCAUUUUUCUAGGAGAGAUUAUGCUUUGGUGACUGGU
rnacentral:lncRNA from 1 species